AUAAGCGGAGGAAAAGAAACCAACAGGGAUUGCCUCAGUAACGGCGAGUGAAGCGGCAACAGCUCAAAUUUGAAAUCUGGCCUCUUCGGGGUCCGAGUUGUAAUUUGUAGAGGAUGUUUCGGGUACCGCCUCGGUCUAAAUUUCUUGGAACAGAAUGUCAGAGAGGGUGAGAAUCCCGUCUUGGACCGGCGGUAGGGCCCGUGUGAAACUCCUUCGACGAGUCGAGUUGUUUGGGAAUGCAGCUCAAAAUGGGUGGUAUAUUUCAUCUAAAGCUAAAUAUUGGCCAGAGACCGAUAGCGCACAAGUAGAGUGAUCGAAAGAUGAAAAGAACUUUGAAAAGAGAGUUAAACAGUAUGUGAAAUUGUUGAAAGGGAAGCGCUUGCAACCAGACUUGAGCGCGGCGGUUCCCCCUUCCUUUUGGUUGGGUUACUCCGUCGUGUCCAGGCCAACAUCGGUUCUGGGGGUCGGUUAAAGGCUUGGGGAAUGUACCUACGUCUUCGGGUGUAGACUUAUAGCCCCGAGUGUCAUGCGACCUCCCGGGACCGAGGAACGCGCUUCGGCUCGGAUGUUGGCGUAAUGGUUGUAAGCGGCCCGUCUUGAAACACGGACCAAGGAGUCUAACAUCUAUGCGAGUGUUUGGGUGUCAAACCCGGAACGCGGAAUGAAAGUGAACGGAGGUAGGAAGCUUCGGCUGCACUAUCGACCGAUCCUGAUGUCUUCGGAUGGAUUUGAGUAAGAGCAUAGCUGUUGGGACCCGAAAGAUGGUGAACUAUGCCUGAAUAGGGUGAAGCCAGAGGAAACUCUGGUGGAGGCUCGCAGCGGUUCUGACGUGCAAAUCGAUCGUCAAAUUUGGGUAUAGGGGCGAAAGACUAAUCGAACCAUUAACGAAACCAAAGUUAUAAUCGAAACAAAACAUUAUAAGCUACACGGUGGUUAAGUGUGACCUCGAAAGAGGGCGCAAGUGCCCGGUUCUGGCGCGACACUAUCAAAUUGCGGGGACUCCCUAAAGCUUCGACGACCGCCUCACCUGUGAAAGUAGGUGCGGGCACCAGGUUAAUGGCCUCGGGUAUGGUAAAACCGUCGAAGAUGUUUAACAAUGGGUAAUCCGCAGCCAAGUCCUAAGGCCCCUUAAUGAGGCUACGGAUGCAGUUCACAGACUAAAUGGUAGUGGGCUCCCUGCUCGUAGGGGGGGCUUAAGAUAUAGUCGGUCCCCCAGGGAAACUUGGGCGUAUACGCUAAAUCUAGGUACAGGACAGUCCUUCUCCUUCGGGGGUGGGAGGUGCCUAGACGUGAACGGUACGGGCGCUGGGCAAGUCCCCCGGUGUCGGGUGUUAAAACGCUGGUAGCUGGUUCCUGCCGAAGUUUCCCUCAGG
rnacentral:rRNA from 1 species